rnacentral:rRNA from 1 species
AUACCCGCUGAACUUAAGAAUAUAAAUAAGG